rnacentral:rRNA from 1 species
GUAGGGGCCAAGCGUUAUCCGGAUUUAUUGGGGCGUAAAGAGCUCGUAGGCGGCUUGGCAAGUCGGUCGUGAAAGUCCGAGGCUCAACCUCGGGAAUGCCGGGUCGAAACUGCCAUGGCUAGGGUUCGGUAGAGGAGAGUGGAAUUCUCGGUGUAGCGGUGAAAUGCGCAGAUAUCGAGAGGAACACCAGUAGCGGAGGCGGCUCUCUGGGCCGAUACCGACGCUGAGGAGCGAAAGCGUGGGGAGCAAACAGGAUUAGAUACCCUGGUAGUCCACGCCGUAAACGGUGAUCACUAGGUGUGGCGGACUCAUUGACGUCUGCUGUGCCGGCGCUAACGCAUUAAGUGAUCCGCCUGGGGAGUACGGCCGCAAGGCUA